rnacentral:rRNA from 1 species
GGGGCUAAACCAUGCACCGAAGCUGCGGCAGCGACACUGUGUGUUGUUGGGUAGGGGAGCGUUCUGUAAGCCUGUGAAGGUGUGUCGUGAGGCAUGCUGGAGGUAUCAGAAGUGCGAAUGCUGACAUAAGUAACGAUAAAGCGGGUGAAAAGCCCGCUCGCCGGAAGACCAAGGGUUCCUGUCCAACGUUAAUCGGGGCAGGGUGAGUCGACCCCUAAGGCGAGGCCGAAAGGCGUAGUCGAUGGGAAACGGGUUAAUAUUCCCGUACUUGGUGUUACUGCGAAGGGGGGACGGAGAAGGCUAUGUUGGCCGGGCGACGGUUGUCCCGGUUUAAGCGUGUAGGCUGGUUUUCCAGGCAAAUCCGGAAAAUCAAGGCUGAGGCGUGAUGACGAGGCACUACGGUGCUGAAGCAACAAAUGCCCUGCUUCCAGGAAAAGCCUCUAAGCAUCAGGUAACAUCAAAUCGUACCCCAAACCGACACAGGUGGUCAGGUAGAGAAUACCAAGGCGCUUGAGAGAACUCGGGUGAAGGAACUAGGCAAAAUGGUGCCGUAACUUCGGGAGAAGGCACGCUGACACGUAGGUGAAGUGAUUUACUCAUGGAGCUGAAGUCAGUCGAAGAUACCAGCUGGCUGCAACUGUUUAUUAAAAACACAGCACUGUGCAAACACGAAAGUGGACGUAUACGGUGUGACGCCUGCCCGGUGCCGGAAGGUUAAUUGAUGGGGUCAGCGCAAGCGAAGCUCCUGAUCGAAGCCCCGGUAAACGGCGGCCGUAACUAUAACGGUCCUAAGGUAGCGAAAUUCCUUGUCGGGUAAGUUCCGACCUGCACGAAUGGCGUAAUGAUGGCCAGGCUGUCUCCACCCGAGACUCAGUGAAAUUGAACUCGCUGUGAAGAUGCAGUGUACCCGCGGCAAGACGGAAAGACCCCGUGAACCUUUACUAUAGCUUGACACUGAACAUUGAGCCUUGAUGUGUAGGAUAGGUGGGAGGCUUUGAAGUGUGGACGCCAGUCUGCAUGGAGCCGACCUUGAAAUACCACCCUUUAAUGUUUGAUGUUCUAACGUGGACCCGUUACCCGGGUUGCGGACAGUGUCUGGUGGGUAGUUUGACUGGGGCGGUCUCCUCCUAAAGAGUAACGGAGGAGCACGAAGGUUGGCUAAUCCUGGUCGGACAUCAGGAGGUUAGUGCAAUGGCAUAAGCCAGCUUGACUGCGAGCGUGACGGCGCGAGCAGGUGCGAAAGCAGGUCAUAGUGAUCCGGUGGUUCUGAAUGGAAGGGCCAUCGCUCAACGGAUAAAAGGUACUCCGGGGAUAACAGGCUGAUACCGCCCAAGAGUUCAUAUCGACGGCGGUGUUUGGCACCUCGAUGUCGGCUCAUCACAUCCUGGGGCUGAAGUAGGUCCCAAGGGUAUGGCUGUUCGCCAUUUAAAGUGGUACGCGAGCUGGGUUUAGAACGUCGUGAGACAGUUCGGUCCCUAUCUGCCGUGGGCGCUGGAGAACUGAGGGGGGCUGCUCCUAGUACGAGAGGACCGGAGUGGACGCAUCACUGGUGUUCGGGUUGUCAUGCCAAUGGCACUGCCCGGUAGCUAAAUGCGGAAGAGAUAAGUGCUGAAAGCAUCUAAGCACGAAACUUGCCCCGAGAUGAGUUCUCCCUGAGACUUAGAGUCUCCUGAAGGAACGUUGAAGACGACGACGUUGAUAGGCCGGGUGUGUAAGCGCAGCGAUGCGUUGAGCUAACCGGUACUAAUGAACCGUGAGGCUUAACCUU